AAGAAGGAUGUGAGGAUGCUGCGCUUCAUCCAGGAAGUGAACACCACCACCCGCUCAUGCGCCCUCUGGGACCUGGAGGAGGACACGGAGUACAUCGUGCAUGUGCAGGCCAUCUCCAUUCAGGGACAGAGCCCAGCCAGCGAGCCCGUGCUCUUCAAGACCCCUCGAGAGGCUGAGAAGAUGGGCUCCAAGAACAAAGAUGAGGUGACCAUGAAGGAGAUGGGAAGGAACCAACAGCUGCGGACAGGUGAGGUGCUGAUCAUCGUGGUGGUCCUGUUCAUGUGGGCAGGUGUCAUUGCCCUCUUCUGCCGCCAGUAUGACAUUAUUAAGGACAACGAACCCAAUAACAACAAGGAGAAAACUAAGAGUGCAUCUGAAACCAGCACUCCUGAGCACCAGGGCGGGGGGCUCCUCCGCAGCAAGAUAUGAAAUCCUUUCAGUGCUUGCUCUGAGCAGCUCAGAAGAAAGACAGUAGAGAAUGAGAGGAUCUCAUGAUUCUGAUGACGAUUCUCCAACAAAUAUCUGGCCCUCUCUGCAUCUCCUCCUCCUUCCAUCU
rnacentral:lncRNA from 1 species